GAUGAAGAACGUAGCGAAAUGCGAUAAGUAAUGUGAAUUGCAGAAUUCAGUGAAUCAUCGAAUCUUUGAACGCACAUUGCGCCCUCUGGUAUUCCGGGGGGCAUGCCUGUUCGAGCGUCAUUAUAACCACUCAAGCUCUCGCUUGGUAUUGGGGUUCGCGGUUCCGCGGCCCCUAAAAUCAGUGGCGGUGCCUGUCGGCUCUACGCGUAGUAAUACUCCUCGCGAUUGAGUCCGGUAGGUCUACUUGCCAGCAACCCCCAAUUUUUACAGGUUGACCUCGCAUCAGGUAGGGAUACCCGCUGAACUUAAGCAUAUCAAUAAGCGGAGGA
rnacentral:misc_RNA from 1 species